UAUAAGAAGAGGAGAUUGGGACACAUACACACAAAGAAGAAAAAAAGACCACAUGGAGACACAGAGAGAAGGUGCCAUUGAUAAGCCAAGGUGCUGAGGUUCUAUUUUGUGAAUUAGAAGUGACCAAAGUCAUUGCAAGGUCCUUAAUUCCAGGAAUAAAACUAUAUUCAAAAGAUAUUCACGUAAAGAAGAUGUGCAUUAUGUUUGGGAAACAAAUGAUGCUGGAAAUAGUGCAGGAAAUAAGAGAGCUUUGCAUCUGGGUUCCUCAGGAGACUCUGCAAUUGCCCUGGAACUGGAAAAUAUGGCAGUAACAUGCUGGGAUGCCACCUUUUGGCUAACGAACGCAAUUGUCAGGUGACAGAGGAACCCUGACCAACUGACAUUGAUUCUUGGUACAGAAGCAAGCACUGCAGAAGUCAUCCAGGAGAGAGACAAAUGACCGAUGUGCUGUAUGGUGAAGAUUUUAUGUAUUUAGUGACCAAAAUCUUGUUGCUUUUGAAAAAAGAAAUUCACAGUUCUUUUUUAGAGUUGCCAGUUUAAGUAAUAAUCAAUAUAGGGAGAGAUGGGGUUAUUUUCUAAAUGAAAUAAGAGGAACUUUGGCUGCUACUGUGCUACAUCAGGUAUGUAAUAAAAGACAAAAGACAAGGAAUCGAAACAGAAGAGAGGACCUUGAGUAACUGUAGUUUUUAUGUUAGGGAGAAUGUGAGAGAGAAAAGAAGCAUUGUAUCUUGGAUUAACAGGACUGCAGGAUUUCAUUAAUGACAGCCCAGCUUUUUAGCAAAGGAAGACAGUUAGAGCAGUAAAAGAGAACAUGACCAGAAUGUGCUCUGCUAAUUGGAAAUGUAUAUUAUCUUCAGGCGAUGUGUGUAGGGCAGGGAGGGGGACUAGGGAGGAUGGGAAGAAACACAUAUUGAGAGCUGGCAGGGGGAACUAGACCUAGGGUGCCCCAGGUUUGGCUGUACCAAUGGGAUAGUUAAAGGGUCUUUUCUUGUAGAUAGGAAUGCUAUUGCCCAGAGCCCUCCCACCCCCACUCCCUUUUAAUUCAGUGGCUAUGUAGGGGCUUCUUUGAUGGUGGCUUUGAAGUUGGUGGCUUUGAGAUUACUCUUCCUCUGUGACCUUGACCACCAGCCAUGAGGUUAGUGGGGAAGGGGAGGGGUGGAGGAAGGAGCUAGAGUUGGAAAAAGAAAAGGAAGGAGAGAGGAGGGGAAGGAAAGGCUGCCCUAAGACAUUUUUGCAGCAUUCCACGACUUUUCUGAUCACUGUGCAAAGUUGAAAUAUGAUUGCAGCCUUUGCACCAGGAAGGAAAGAAACCAUUUAAAUGAAAAAUUAGCUGCCUUAGCAGGUCAAGCACAUAGUUACAUUAAUGUCGUGUAGAACAAUAAAUCAACUUCGAUCUCCAAUUGAAGAAAUGCUAAUUUAGCUCAACGAUUCACUGAUUGUACUUUCCUCUGAUAGAAAUCUUUUCUUUUAUUUAAUGCGAAGCCGUGAUUUGACAGCCUCCUCUAAUGGUGCUUGCAGACUCUCAGCAUUUCAGUGGAAUUCUGAUCAUGGUUUUAAUAUUCCGUGCAGCUCUGCCCCCUCUGAUUUCACGCUCACACAUUAACGAGAGCUGACACUGGAGAUUAGACGCAGACAGCUGGAAUGCCAGGUCUUUGUUGCAGUAUGGACAGGAGCCAACGUCGUUCAACCACAGCCAAGAGGGACCUGGGAAAGUCUUCUUAAGAAGGAGGGGAAGGCAGGGUGGGGGCUUGAGUUCUGGUGGGAGCGGGGGAUGGGGACAGAAAGAAAGGCAAGGUAGUUUCUGAAGGGCAUAGGAAAGGAGUUAUUUGCAAAAAGCCCUUUUGUCUCUGAAAUUCACAUUUGAAUCAAUUCUGAUUUAUUCAGAGGAAAUGGAUCAUUCCAGGGAAAUCCCAAAUUGGUUGCAGUGUUUUUUCUGUAAACUCCGAAAACCCAAGUGUGAUGCUGAAAAUGGAAAUGUCUCCCAGCUUCAGCUGCUCACUGGCUUGUCUAAGAAACAAUGGUGAUUACAAGCUGGAGGAAGAAUGCAUGCCCAAGGAAAUGUGUUCUCCUCUUUGCCUUUAAAACAUCAUUUAGUUCCAGGUGAAUAGAUGGGGAAAUAAAACCAGAUUUAUGAGCCAGGGCUGCCUGCUCGACUAGUGACUACCCAGGCAAGAAAGGAAGUCUCAUAGUCUAACUGCCUUGAUCCUAAUAAAUUGUUUCCUGAUACCAGAAAUAAAGUAAAGAUCUACAGUUUCAUCUAAACCAUGAAGCAACUCGUGUUCAGAUGGUGACCAUAGUGCAAAAGAAAAGGCAGGGUGUUGCCUGAAACAGUGGCGCAACUUUCUCAAAAAGAAAAUGACAGAUGAUUGGAGUUGCAAAGAUGGCACAUUAUACUAUGUCAAAAAAAAAUUGUUUCUGCUCCUGGGGGAAACAAAUUGAGUAGAAAUAACAAAUGUACUUCUUGCUAACUGUAUCAUUAACAAUAAUUAUACUUUGCAUUUUUAGGGGAUAUCAAGAUACUAGAACCCUUCAUAAAUAUUCAUAGAGAAAAGUUGAAGAAGAGAGGCAAAUAUACCCAUUCUCAAUGAAGGAUGGGUGGAUGGAGAAACUGAUGCCCAGGGCCUAGCAGGGGCUACUUGAAAUUAAAUAGAAAACAAAUUACAAGGUUGCAUGCUGCAGCUGGCAUAAAGCUAUCCAGGCUUUAAUUUGAAGCUCAGAUGAACUGAAUUAUCUUAUAUCACUUUGGCCUAUGCUUACUUGCCCUUUUUCCUGGGCUUGGUUGGACCACUUCACUGACAUAGGUUUAGUUAUUCAACUAGUAUUUCUUGAGCACUGAACUAAGCGACAUUUUGAUUUAAAAGGAAGUAUGAGUUUGGACCCUUAUAUUAUAAUAUAUAUAUAAUGUAAUAUGUAUAUAAUGUAAUAUGUAUAUAAUGUAAUAUGUAUAUAAUGUAAUAUGUAUAUUAUGUAAUAUGUAUAUCAUUAAUAUUUUUAUAAGAACGUGGAGGUCAUAUCACAGUAGUUAAAAGUAUACCUUAUAACAUUGCAUGUAUCAGAGUAAUUAAGAAUAUGUCAGAGAAAUUCGCACAUGAAUCUCAGUUCUAUUACUGGCUUUGUGACCUUUAGCAAGUUACUAAACUUCUCUCUAAACCUCAAUUUUCUUGUCUGUAAAAUGGGGAAUAUAAUAAAACAAUCUAUAGCUCAGUGCCUGACUCACAUGAGCACUCAAUAAGUGCUAACUAUUAUUGUUGUUGUUAUUUUCAUGUAGUUAUUGGGAGGGUUCGAUGAGAAUACAUAUAUACACUCACGGGCCUUUACUGAGUUAGCUUAAAGAGUUGUGUGGGUUUUUUCGGUUGUUUGUUUUUUAAGUCUGUUCCAAGGGCUUAUAACCCAUGGCAGGUUUUCAGUGGUCACAGGUUAGCAUCCUCCAUAGUUACUUUACUUGCAAUUGGUAAUAAAUGGCUUUGACCAAAGAGGAGAGCAAAUUAACUGAAUAGAAUGCUUAAAUGCCUAAAGAUGUGGGAGAAUACUUCUGGGAGUUAGAUAGCAUUCAUCAUAUCAGUAAGAAUAUUGCACAUAUAGUAUAUACUGGAAGGCAAAAAUGCCUGGGGUGGUUUUGUUUAUAACUCAUUGCUUUGCCUCUGUGACAUGUAGCCAAGAGAAUCAUUUAUGCCAACGCACUGUCAUUGAAAUAGUAUAUCUAUUUGUUCAGUGUGCAGAGAAAAUUUUCCUGACCUUGUGUAUCUACUCGGAGUAGGAGCACCUAGUAACAUCUAAAUAAAAUGUAGAAGACUGCAA